GUUUACUAAAAUGUUUGUAUUCUUGUUAAAUUUGAAAUAGCGAGCAAGAACGCGUUUUGAGCUCACAAUGAUCACUAGCUCUCAACAUAAAAACAUUUGCGUGACCCCACUUGUGACGUACAUGCAUAUCCUGAAUAAUCCAAGAUGGCUGACAGCAACAUCAUGAUCAAAACACUGUUAAAGGUCGGUAUUGAUUAUUCGUAAGGCUCGUUUAAGCGAGGCAAACUAAAGUUUUACUGCCAAUGUCCUUUAAUUAUUUUUCAUUUAAUAUUAUAGGCUGUAAAACUUCAUUCUCCGUCCAUGAAUUAUCUUAUUCAUUCUCCAAUAUUUGCUGCCUAAAGUUGUAAGCAAUGCUGCCCAGC